UGGCGGCGUGCCUAUACAUGCAAGUCGAACGAACUCUGGUAUUGAUUGGUGCUUGCAUCAUGAUUUACAUUUGAGUGAGUGGCGAACUGGUGAGUAACACGUGGGAAACCUGCCCAGAAGCGGGGGAUAACACCUGGAAACAGAUGCUAAUACCGCAUAACAACUUGGACCGCAUGGUCCGAGCUUGAAAGAUGGCUUCGGCUAUCACUUUUGGAUGGUCCCGCGGCGUAUUAGCUAGAUGGUGGGGUAACGGCUCACCAUGGCAAUGAUACGUAGCCGACCUGAGAGGGUAAUCGGCCACAUUGGGACUGAGACACGGCCCAAACUCCUACGGGAGGCAGCAGUAGGGAAUCUUCCACAAUGGACGAAAGUCUGAUGGAGCAACGCCGCGUGAGUGAAGAAGGGUUUCGGCUCGUAAAACUCUGUUGUUAAAGAAGAACAUAUCUGAGAGUAACUGUUCAGGUAUUGACGGUAUUUAACCAGAAAGCCACGGCUAACUACGUGCCAGCAGCCGCGGUAAUACGUAGGUGGCAAGCGUUGUCCGGAUUUAUUGGGCGUAAAGCGAGCGC
rnacentral:rRNA from 2 species